GAUGAACGCUGGCGGCGUGCCUAACACAUGCAAGUCGAGCGACAAGACGAUGAGCUUUUUCUCUUGCCGUUAGCGGGUGGCGGGCGAGUAACACAUGCAUAACCUACUUCUUUGACGUGGAUAAUUUCGGAAAACCGCUUCUGAUACCGCAGAAUAUAUUCAACGGCAGGGUUCAAGAGUUAAUGACGGCUUUGCUGUCUCUUAUAGCUGGAUCCGCGUCGCAUUAGCGAGUUGGUAAGGUAACGGCUUACCAAGGCGACGAUGCGUAGCUGAGCUGAGAGGGUGAUCGGCCACACUGGAACUGAGACACGGUCCAGACUCCUACGGGAGGCAGCAGUGGGGAAUCUUCCACAAUGGGCGCAAGCCUGAUCGAGCCAUGCCGCGUGGGUGAUGAAGGUCUUCGGGUUGUAAAGCCCUGUUGUUGGGGAAGAACAGCAGUGUAAUAAACUCUGCACGUCUUGACGGUACCUAAAGAGAAAGCCCCGGCUAACUUCGUG
rnacentral:rRNA from 1 species